rnacentral:tRNA from 1 species
GCCGACAUGGCGCAAUGGCAGAGCGUCGGGCUCGAACUCCGGCAUGUCGGCA